rnacentral:rRNA from 1 species
AGUCGAGCGAACGGACGAGAAGCUUGCUUCUCUGAUGUUAGCGGCGGACGGGUGAGUAACACGUGGAUAACCUACCUAUAAGACUGGGAUAACUUCGGGAAACCGGAGCUAAUACCGGAUAAUAUUUUGAACCGCAUGGUUCAAAAGUGAAAGACGGUCUUGCUGUCACUUAUAGAUGGAUCCGCGCUGCAUUAGCUAGUUGGUAAGGUAACGGCUUACCAAGGCAACGAUGCAUAGCCGACCUGAGAGGGUGAUCGGCCACACUGGAGCUGAGACACGGUCCAGACUCCUACGGGAGGCAGCAGUAGGGAAUCUUCCGCAAUGGGCGAAAGCCUGACGGAGCAACGCCGCGUGAGUGAUGAAGGUCUUCGGAUCGUAAAACUCUGUCAUUAGGGAAGAACAUAUGUGUAAGUAACUGUGCACAUCUUGACGGUACCUAAUCAGAAAGCCACGGCUAACUACGUGCCAGCAGCCGCGGUAAUACGUAGGUGGCAAGCGUUAUCCGGAAUUAUUGGGCGUAAAGCGCGCGUAGGCGGUUUUUUAAGUCUGAUGUGAAAGCCCACGGCUCAACCGUGGAGGGUCAUUGGAAACUGGAAAACUCGAGUGCAGAAGAGGAAAGUGGAAUUCCAUGUGUAGCGGUGAAAUGCGCAGAGAUAUGGAGGUACACCAGUGGCGAAGGCGACUUUCUGGUCUGUAACUGACGCUGAUG